rnacentral:rRNA from 1 species
UUAUUACGACUCCGAAGUUAAGCGUGCUUGGGNNAGAGUAGUACUAGGAUCGGUGACCUCUUGGGAAGUCCUCGUGUUCCAUUCC